rnacentral:rRNA from 1 species
AUUGAACGCUGGCGGCAUGCCUAACACAUGCAAGUCGAGCGGACGGAGGAAAAGCGUUCUUGUCUUAUGUUGGCGGCGGGCGGGUGAGUACCACGUGUCUGCCCUACCGUGGGGACUGGGGUCACUUCGGGGACCCGUAUCUCAUACCGGAUACUAUUUUGAACGGGGUGGUUCAACAGUGCACGCGGGUCUUGCUGUCACUUGUAGAUGGAUCCGCGCUGGAGUAGCUAGUUGGUAAGGUAACGGCUUACCAAGGCAACGAUGCGUAGCCGGUCUGAGAGGAUGAUCAGCCACACUGGAACUGAGACACGGUCCAGACUCCUACGGGAGGCAGCAGUAGGGAAUCUUGGGCAAUGGGCGAAAGCCUGACGGAGCAAUGCCGCGUGAGUGAUGAAGGUCUUCGGAUUGUAAAACUCUGUUAUUAGGGAAGAACAGAUGUGUAAGAAAAUGUGGAUGUCUUGACGGUACCUAAAGAAUAAGCACCGGCUAACUACGUG